CAGAACCCUUCGGGGUGAUGUUUAUGGAAUGAGCGGCGGACGGGUGAGUAACACGUGGGCAACCUGCCUGUAAGAUCGGGAUAACUCGCGGAAACGUGAGCUAAUACCGGAUAACACUUUUCAUCUCAUGGUGAGAAGAUAAAAGACGGUUUCGGCUGUCACUUACAGAUGGGCCCGCGGCGCAUUAGCUAGUUGGUGAGGUAACGGCUCACCAAGGCGACGAUGCGUAGCCGACCUGAGAGGGUGAUCGGCCACACUGGGACUGAGACACGGCCCAGACUCCUACGGGAGGCAGCAGUAGGGAAUCUUCCGCAAUGGACGAAAGUCUGACGGAGCAACGCCGCGUGAGUGAUGAAGGUUUUCGGAUCGUAAAACUCUGUUGUUAGGGAAGAACAAGUUGGGUAGUAACUGACCCAACCUUGACGGUACCUAACCAGAAAGCCACGGCUAACUACGUGCCAGCAGCCGCGGUAAUACGUAGGUGGCAAGCGUUGUCCGGAAUUAUUGGGCGUAAAGCGCUCGCAGGCGGUCUUUUAAGUCUGAUGUGAAAGCCCACGGCUUAACCGUGGAGGGUCAUUGGAAACUGGAGGACUUGAGUACAGAAGAGGAGAGUGGAAUUCCACGUGUAGCGGUGAAAUGCGUAGAGAUGUGGAGGAACACCAGUGGCGAAGGCGACUCUCUGGUCUGUAACUGACGCUGAGGAGCGAAAGCGUGGGUAGCGAACAGGAUUAGAUACCCUGGUAGUCCACGCCGUAAACGAUGAGUGCUAGGUGUUAGGGGGUUUCCGCCCCUUAGUGCUGAAGUUAACGCAUUAAGCACUCCGCCUGGGGAGUACGGCCGCAAGGCUGAAACUCAAAAGAAUUGACGGGGGCCCGCACAAGCGGUGGAGCAUGUGGUUUAAUUCGAAGCAACGCGAAGAACCUUACCAGGUCUUGACAUCCUCUGAUACCUCUAGAGAUAGAGUUUUCCCUUCGGGGACAGAGUGACAGGUGGUGCAUGGUUGUCGUCAGCUC
rnacentral:rRNA from 1 species